GAGUUUGAUCAUGGCUCAGGACGAACGCUGGCGGCGUGCUUAACACAUGCAAGUCGAACGAGAAUCUACUGAAAGAGUUUUCGGACAAUGGAAGUAGAGGAAAGUGGCGGACGGGUGAGUAACGUGUGAGGAACCUGCCUUGAAGAGGGGGACAACAGUUGGAAACGACUGCUAAUACCGCAUGAUGCAUAAGGGUCGCAUGAUUCUUAUGCCAAAGAUUUAUCGCUUCAAGAUGGCCUCGCGUCUGAUUAGCUAGUUGGCGGGGUAACGGCCCACCAAGGCGACGAUCAGUAGCCGGACUGAGAGGUUGAACGGCCACAUUGGGACUGAGAUACGGCCCAGACUCCUACGGGAGGCAGCAGUGGGGAAUAUUGGGCAAUGGGCGCAAGCCUGACCCAGCAACGCCGCGUGAAGGAAGAAGGCUUUCGGUAUGUAAACUUCUAUCAGCAGGGAAGAAAAUAGACGGUACCUGACUAAGAAGCCCGGCUAACUACGUGCAGCCGCCGCGGUAAG
rnacentral:rRNA from 1 species